GCCCACGCAAGUGGGAUCAGGUAAGGGUGAAAGGGUGCGGUAAGAGCGCACCGCGCGGCUGGUAACAGUCCGUGGCACGGUAAACUCCACCCGGAGCAAGGCCAAAUAGGGGUUCAUAAGGUACGGCCCGUACUGAACCCGGGUAGGCUGCUUGAGCCAGUGAGCGAUUGCUGGCCUAGAUGAAUGACUGUCCACGACAGAACCCGGCUUAUCGGUCAGUUUCACUU
rnacentral:RNase_P_RNA from 1 species